GACGAACGCUGGCGGCGUGCUUAACACAUGCAAGUCGAACGGUGAAGCCCUUCGGGGUGGAUCAGUGGCGAACGGGUGAGUAACACGUGAGCAACCUGCCCUCGACUCUGGGGUAACUACCGGAAACGGUGGCUAAUACCGGAUAUGACCCCUGUGGGCAUCUGUGGGUGUGGAAAUGUUUUCGGUCGGGGAUGGGCUCGCGGCCUAUCAGCUUGUUGGUGGGGUGAUGGCCUACCAAGGCGGUGACGGGUAGCCGGCCUGAGAGGGCGACCGGCCACACUGGGACUGAGACACGGCCCAGACUCCUACGGGAGGCAGCAGUGGGGAAUAUUGCGCAAUGGGCGGAAGCCUGACGCAGCGACGCCGCGUGGGGGAUGAAGGCCUUCGGGUUGUAAGCCUCUUUCAGCAGGGAAGAAGCGUGAGUGACGGUACCUGCAGAAGAAGCACCGGCUAACUACGUGCCAGCCGCCGCCGUAA
rnacentral:rRNA from 1 species